rnacentral:rRNA from 1 species
GGUCAAGAAGAAAAGGGCACAUGGUGGAUGCCUUGGCGCUAAGAGCCGAAGAAGGGCGUGGAAAGCUGCGAAAAGCCACGAGGAGCCGCAAGCAGGCGUUAAUCCGUGGAUACCCGAAUGGGGCAACCCG